GAUGAACGCUGGCGGCGUGCUUAACACAUGCAGGUCGAACGGGAAUUAUUUUAUUGAAACUUCGGUCGAUUUAAUUUAAUUCUAGUGGCGGACGGGUGAGUAACGCGUGGGUAACCUGCCUUAUACAGGGGGAUAACAGCCAGAAAUGGCUGCUAAUACCGCAUAAGCGCACAGAGCUGCAUGGCUCAGUGUGAAAAACUCCGGUGGUAUAAGAUGGACCCGCGUUGGAUUAGCUUGUUGGCAGGGUAACGGCCUACCAAGGCGACGAUCCAUAGCCGGCCUGAGAGGGUGAACGGCCACAUUGGGACUGAGACACGGCCCAGACUCCUACGGGAGGCAGCAGUGGGGAAUAUUGCACAAUGGGGGAAACCCUGAUGCAGCGACGCCGCGUGAAGGAAGAAGUAUCUCGGUAUGUAAACUUCUAUCAGCAGGGAAGAUAGUGACGGUACCUGACUAAGAAGCCCCGGCUAACUACGUG
rnacentral:rRNA from 1 species